UUAAGCGACUAAGCGUACACGGUGGAUGCCCUGGCAGUCAGAGGCGAUGAAGGACGUGCUAAUCUGCGAUAAGCGUCGGUAAGGUGAUAUGAACCGUUAUAACCGGCGAUUUCCGAAUGGGGAAACCCAGUGUGAUUCGUCACACUAUCAUUAACUGAAUCCAUAGGUUAAUGAGGCGAACCGGGGGAACUGAAACAUCUAAGUACCCCGAGGAAAAGAAAUCAACCGAGAUUCCCCCAGUAGCGGCGAGCGAACGGGGAGGAGCCCAGAGCCUGAAUCAGUGUGUGUGUUAGUGGAAGCGUCUGGAAAGGCGCGCGAUACAGGGUGACAGCCCCGUACACAAAAAUGCACAUGCUGUGAGCUCGAUGAGUAGGGCGGGACACGUGGUAUCCUGUCUGAAUAUGGGGGGACCAUCCUCCAAGGCUAAAUACUCCUGACUGACCGAUAGUGAACCAGUACCGUGAGGGAAAGGCGAAAAGAACCCCGGCGAGGGGAGUGAAAAAGAACCUGAAACCGUGUACGUACAAGCAGUGGGAGCCUCUUUAUGGGGUGACUGCGUACCUUUUGUAUAAUGGGUCAGCGACUUAUAUUCUGUAGCAAGGUUAACCGAAUAGGGGAGCCGAAGGGAAACCGAGUCUUAACUGGGCGUUAAGUUGCAGGGUAUAGACCCGAAACCCGGUGAUCUAGCCAUGGGCAGGUUGAAGGUUGGGUAACACUAACUGGAGGACCGAACCGACUAAUGUUGAAAAAUUAGCGGAUGACUUGUGGCUGGGGGUGAAAGGCCAAUCAAACCGGGAGAUAGCUGGUUCUCCCCGAAAGCUAUUUAGGUAGCGCCUCGUGAAUUCAUCUCCGGGGGUAGAGCACUGUUUCGGCAAGGGGGUCAUCCCGACUUACCAACCCGAUGCAAACUGCGAAUACCGGAGAAUGUUAUCACGGGAGACACACGGCGGGUGCUAACGUCCGUCGUGAAGAGGGAAACAACCCAGACCGCCAGCUAAGGUCCCAAAGUCAUGGUUAAGUGGGAAACGAUGUGGGAAGGCCCAGACAGCCAGGAUGUUGGCUUAGAAGCAGCCAUCAUUUAAAGAAAGCGUAAUAGCUCACUGGUCGAGUCGGCCUGCGCGGAAGAUGUAACGGGGCUAAACCAUGCACCGAAGCUGCGGCAGCGACGCUUAUGCGUUGUUGGGUAGGGGAGCGUUCUGUAAGCCUGCGAAGGUGUACUGUGAGGUAUGCUGGAGGUAUCAGAAGUGCGAAUGCUGACAUAAGUAACGAUAAAGCGGGUGAAAAGCCCGCUCGCCGGAAGACCAAGGGUUCCUGUCCAACGUUAAUCGGGGCAGGGUGAGUCGACCCCUAAGGCGAGGCCGAAAGGCGUAGUCGAUGGGAAACAGGUUAAUAUUCCUGUACUUGGUGUUACUGCGAAGGGGGGACGGAGAAGGCUAUGUUGGCCGGGCGACGGUUGUCCCGGUUUAAGCGUGUAGGCUGGUUUUCCAGGCAAAUCCGGAAAAUCAAGGCUGAGGCGUGAUGACGAGGCACUACGGUGCUGAAGCAACAAAUGCCCUGCUUCCAGGAAAAGCCUCUAAGCAUCAGGUAACAUCAAAUCGUACCCCAAACCGACACAGGUGGUCAGGUAGAGAAUACCAAGGCGCUUGAGAGAACUCGGGUGAAGGAACUAGGCAAAAUGGUGCCGUAACUUCGGGAGAAGGCACGCUGAUACGUAGGUGAAGUCCCUUGCGGAUGGAGCUGAAAUCAGUCGAAGAUACCAGCUGGCUGCAACUGUUUAUUAAAAACACAGCACUGUGCAAACACGAAAGUGGACGUAUACGGUGUGACGCCUGCCCGGUGCCGGAAGGUUAAUUGAUGGGGUUAGCGGUAACGCGAAGCUCUUGAUCGAAGCCCCGGUAAACGGCGGCCGUAACUAUAACGGUCCUAAGGUAGCGAAAUUCCUUGUCGGGUAAGUUCCGACCUGCACGAAUGGCGUAAUGAUGGCCAGGCUGUCUCCACCCGAGACUCAGUGAAAUUGAACUCGCUGUGAAGAUGCAGUGUACCCGCGGCAAGACGGAAAGACCCCGUGAACCUUUACUAUAGCUUGACACUGAACAUUGAGCCUUGAUGUGUAGGAUAGGUGGGAGGCUUUGAAGUGUGGACGCCAGUCUGCAUGGAGCCGACCUUGAAAUACCACCCUUUAAUGUUUGAUGUUCUAACGUUGGCCCCUAAUCGGGGUUGCGGACAGUGUCUGGUGGGUAGUUUGACUGGGGCGGUCUCCUCCUAAAGAGUAACGGAGGAGCACGAAGGUUGGCUAAUCCUGGUCGGACAUCAGGAGGUUAGUGCAAUGGCAUAAGCCAGCUUGACUGCGAGCGUGACGGCGCGAGCAGGUGCGAAAGCAGGUCAUAGUGAUCCGGUGGUUCUGAAUGGAAGGGCCAUCGCUCAACGGAUAAAAGGUACUCCGGGGAUAACAGGCUGAUACCGCCCAAGAGUUCAUAUCGACGGCGGUGUUUGGCACCUCGAUGUCGGCUCAUCACAUCCUGGGGCUGAAGUAGGUCCCAAGGGUAUGGCUGUUCGCCAUUUAAAGUGGUACGCGAGCUGGGUUUAGAACGUCGUGAGACAGUUCGGUCCCUAUCUGCCGUGGGCGCUGGAGAACUGAGGGGGGCUGCUCCUAGUACGAGAGGACCGGAGUGGACGCAUCACUGGUGUUCGGGUUGUCAUGCCAAUGGCACUGCCCGGUAGCUAAAUGCGGAAGAGAUAAGUGCUGAAAGCAUCUAAGCACGAAACUUGCCCCGAGAUGAGUUCUCCCUGACUCCUUGAGAGUCCUGAAGGAACGUUGAAGACGACGACGUUGAUAGGCCGGGUGUGUAAGCGCAGCGAUGCGUUGAGCUAACCGGUACUAAUGAACCGUGAGGCUUAACCUU
rnacentral:rRNA from 5 species